AAACCCUUUUGCCCUUGCAGAGGAACAAAUAGCCCAGGCCUGUAGCUAAUGGUAUUGUCCUGGGUGGAAGGAUCCCAAUGGUCGUCUGAAAGCGGUGGCGAUCUCCUUUUCCUCAGAAACAUCUAACAGUGCCUCUGAAACGUCUGUUUUCAGGGAGGGAUUUGAUUUCUCUUUCUGCACAAAGCUCUUGGUCGUCCUCAGCCCUGGGUGGGUUUGGUUUUUUUUUGUGCGGAGAGACGCUGUGAAUCCAUUGCAGGCAUUACGUGGCUGUUAAAUUGUAAGCACCAAAAAAAAAAAAAAUCUGCCUGCGAACAGUAAGAUGUUAGUGAGGUUGAUGUUAAAAAAGGCGAGAAGGCGGUGGUGGUGGUAGGGAUCCCUUACAUGUUUUAUCCGUCUAAUUACAGAAGCUCGACAAAAAACAGGCAACAAAAUGGGGGGGUGUUUUUCACGACGGUGAGUCUUAAUGGCGGAUGUCUCCCUAGAAAGCACUGUAAAAUCCUUCAUACCGAGAGGCAGUGACUUGGAGAGAGGGGGGAAAAAGGAGGUCUGGAAGUAUAUCCAAAAUGAGGGAGUUUCCUUCCAAGUGAGGGACCCUUUGCAGCCUGAGUGUUACAGAUGGAGAGCCGUGACGCAGUUGAUAUUCACAGCAGUUGUGCUUUAGUGCCGCCACCCAGCCCACGAAAAUGGCCUCCCCGCCGAAUUCUGGUGGGUUUAUUAUGUGAAAGGCUGCGGCAGCACCGUGUCCCGGGCGGCGGGAGGGGCGGCCGGCGGCGGGCACGGCGCUCCCGGUCGCGCUCCGUGUUGUGUGAGGGCAGCCGCCAUCAUGGCUUCUCCUUCCCUUCGGCGCCGCGUUCUCCUCAGUGCUGGGCGGUGGCGCGGCAGGCUCUCCCCCCGCUGCCUCCCGGCGCUUCGCGUCCCGAGCGCUGCAGGGAAAUGGAGGUUUUGGGGUGGUGUGGGUUUUUUGGGGUUUUUUUUUCCCCCUUCUCUCCCCUUUCCCGCCCCCCCUUCCCCCAGCGCUUUGUGAGGGGCUGUGGAAGGGCGAAGCCGGGCAGGGAGCGGCGGCUCUUUCUCCCCGCGCACAACAUGGCGGGAGCGCCCUGCGGCAGCGGGGCUGGCGGCGCUCCAGCCGGGCCGGGCGGGGGGGCGGCCGGCCGGGAGGACAAAGGCAGCUCGGAUAAUGCCGGCGCAGCCCUGACUGCUAUAAAUAACACCGCCCUUCCCCCGCCGCAGCCUCCCGCUCUCUUUAUAAACACCAAGCCAUGGAAGUCGCCUAAUGCAGAGGGGGGAAAAAGAGGAACAAACAACACCACCCCUCCUUCACCACACACACGGGAAAAAAAGAAAAUGCACAAAAAUGUUAAAGCCCGGGCUGUGGUAGGGGACGGGGAGAACCAGCAGCGGUGGCCGCGGGAGGGGCCGGGCGGCGCCGCCACCUCCCCGCCCGGAGCGGGUGCGCCGGGGGGAGCGCGGCCGCCGCUCCCCGUCACAUGGCUCUUUGUUGUUUUCCUUCUCUGCCUCUCUGGGCUGUUCCCCCCUCCGCCAUCACCCAGCCGGGGCAGCGCUGCCCUGCCUCCUCCGGCCUGCAGCGCCGAGCUCCCCGGGCCCGCACGGGCAGGGCUGGCGCGGAGCCGGUGCCGCGCUGCAGUGGAGCCGCCAUGGCCCGAUGAGGUGUUACAUGUGGCGUCGUUUUUUUUUUUCCUUCUUUUUUUAUUUUUUUUUUUUUCUUCUUGUGGUUUGUUUUUUUGGUGGGAUUUUUUUUUUUUUUCCCCCGAGCAGAUUCUGCUGCAGCUCGCUUUGGGUGGAGGCUGAGGGUUAUCUCGGAACUUCACAAGCCUCGCUGUGCUCUGUGGGGAAUUGCAGCUUGUGCUCACUGCAGACCCAGAGUAGGUGAGCCAGGAAAGCCUGGCUUGAGCAACCACUUCAGAGGGCAGGACAGGGAGGAAAAGCAAACACUGUAGAGAGGUGGCCUCCCUGGUAAGGCUAGAGCAGGACCGUCCUGCGGACUCUGAGGGAGGGUGAAGGUAAGUGGCUGCUUGGCAGAGGCUGUCUGCGGGAGCGGCAUGUGCCGGGCAGGGUGCGCCCUGCCCGCAGUUCCUGCGGCUCAGCACCAGCCGCUCCGUGGGUUUGUACAACUUGUGCCGUGGUAUGUGCCGAGGCUCAGGGCUGUUUCCCUGCGAGGGAGCAGGGUGCUGCCGCGAAGGAGGCACCGCAGCCCGCGCCUUUCGCAACAACUGCGCUCAUCGCUCCAUUCCUCGCUCCCCCCCCUCGCUCCUCACCGGGUCAGGCUCUAUGUCGAGAACAAGCGACAAACCGUCCGCACAAAACAGAACACGUUCCCGUGGAGGGGGAGAAAACCAAACAAACCAACAACAAAACCAAAGCGCUUCCGCAGUGCCAGGCUGGCGUUGUAGCGCUGCGAGCCCUGUCGGGGGCUGCGGCGCUCGGAGCCGGGGCCGCCCGAGCCGCCGCUCGGUCCCUGCCCGGCCGGGAGCGCCGGGCCCGCGCUGGAGCCAGCGCUGAGCACCGGGCCCGGGUCACGGCGGCUCCCAGGGACCGUCUGCUGGCAAAAUCGGAAGGAACGGUGACGUUGUUCUUAGCUGAACACCAUUAAAAUGCUCCUCUGAUAUCUCUCAAUAGAGGUGAAAAGCAUUUCAGCUUCCUGGAAAUGGCCGAAAGAGGCGACGUGUAGAUCAAAGUACGGCGCAGAGCUGGGCUCCUAUUUGCAAGGGUUUUUGAACUGUAGUGAAAACGUUUCUGCAGCUUGCAUCGUAAUGAGUUAAGUCAGCACGUGAAGCGACUAAAAAAGGCAUAUUUAAACAGCAUCGGGCUAUUAACUUUCCUGGGAUUUAAGAUUUAUGUUUAAAUAUAUAUUUGGCUGAUAGCAAUACCAGCAUUUAAACCGUAACGUUGAUCUGUUCAACCUUGAAGCAAACCAGCUCUGCCUAACGCAGCUUUGAAGCGACACAGCCAGACCAUAAUACUGUGGGAGCUUAGACAGCUUUGUCUGUACUUGCAUCUCUCUGCAUAUUUUUCCAGGACUCUGAUCUUUGUCUGCGAUUAAUCAUUGUCCAGGACGGCUGUUCCCGGUGGUAGAAUCCAUGAAGUGCUCCAGCUGGGAGAGGUCCUAACGCGUGUGCCUGGCGCUGCGUACGUGCAAACCAGGGCCAGAAAUUGCUGGGGCAGCAGGCGCUGGACAGCGAGCCUGCCGUGCCGCCCCAGUGAGUUGUGUGGGUCCUCAGCACUUCUGGAAGUUGUUUUUGACAGCGAGGAGUGCCCCAGCUGGUCCCUCGAGCCCUGGGUUGCAGCCGAGAGGGCCCGAAGGCGCCGGGUCGGUGAAGGCUGUGCUGCCCAUGGCUCCCUGUGCUGCUGCGCUCCAGCAGCUCCCAGUUGCUACGCAGCUGCAGGGCUGUGUGUGCCUGUGCUGUACGAGGGGAGCAGCACGGCUUCCCCUUGGUCGCUGGAGAGGAGCAUGGAAACGGGAGCAGUGGCCGUGGCAAAAUCGUUCCGUUCCUGGCUGGUUCACAGAGCCGCUGGCAAAAACGCUGGAGCGAGGAGAAGGGACACUCGGUGGAGCAGGGGGUGGCAGGAGGGGAGGGAAGAGCCAGCAUAUGUGCACAGCAGAGGUUACAAAGACAGCAGAUCCUGGCAGAGCAGGGGGCACACACCAAGGAGAAAGAAAUGGGAGAGAGGCCAAAGGCACAGUUCAGAAUUAGGAAAAAAAACAGAAAACAGGAGGAGAGUGUGGCAUAUGGAGAAGGGAAGUAAAGCAGAACUUGCACAGCCUGCAAAUAAUUGAAUAGAAAAUACAGGAAGAGGGAAGGAGCUUGAUUCAUUACUGCCCUUCACCUUGUGGAGACAGCUACACCCAGGAAGAGGAGGUGUGGAAUACAACAGCAUCCUUCAUGUUUCACGGUGAACUGUAGGUUUUACAUUUUGACCCCUGCCGUUUGUGGUUUUCUCCUUUCACAACCCAUGCCUUUUGUUCAGACUUGAUUUCUGCAGGCUCUGUUCUUAUCUUUGUCUACUUUCUGAGUUAUUUUUGGACUUUCUUUAACUUUCAUUUUUCUCUUUUUUAAGGUAAGUUUUAAAUUAAAAUACCUCUUCCAGAUAUUUUAGUUGUUUUAACCUUCAAGAGGGAAAGGCCAUUGCUAGUUUCUAACUGAAGUUAGUUUCCAUUAAACCCACACAGCCAUUGCUGCAUUUCUGCCUGUCUCUCUGCUGGGAGUUGCUGAUGCAGGACAGGGUUCUCUUUGCUUCCUGACACCUUCCCCUGCACAUUGUCUUCUCCUUUCCCUGGGCAGUGCCUGCCAGCAGUCCGGAAGGACUCGCAGUUAGCAGCGUGCAGGAAGUGGUUCCUGUGGCAGUAAAUUAUCACAGGCGCCUGACGUGUUGCAUAAAGGGGAGUGAAAAAAGUGUCACGAACAUCUGCAGGGGGUUCUGACCAGAAGGGAUCCUUAGUUCCACCACCACUGCCCACAUGAAAAAGCACUUCAUGGUGUCGGCAACUAACGUGCAAUUGCCUGUGGAAUAGGAAAUGCCAGUGGAGCUGGCAGGGAAGCAGGAAAGCUGGACAUUCCUCCAUGCACAGGACUGAGGAGCAUGGCUUGUACAGCAGGGUGGGGAGAGGAAUUUAAGCUCGUGCAGCUGUUGCUCUACUAUGACCAGCCCAGGCUUGCUUGGAGGCCUUUCGACUGAGAACACUUUUUCCUAGGUCCAAAACUGAGUCCUAAAAGGAAAAUGGAGGUGCCCACUCAGACUUAGAGUAGAAAUUAUUUGCUAUGGGUGCUGUGUGUGUGGUUCAAGCUAAUAAAGUACUUGACAAAUACACAGCCAGAUGUGUUCUGUACUUAGAAAAUUUUUGUCUAAGAUGUCUGAUUUCAUGGGGAGGCUGUAUUUGCUUCCUUCUUCCAUUUGCCUGGAGCCCUUAUCUUUGAACAGGCACUGUCUGUACUAUUGUUAGACUCCCAAGACCAUUAAAGGUCUUGAGGCACUGACAUUUUGCAAGCAGAUCCAGCUGCCAUUCACACAGGGGCAUUUUUAGCCUUAUGAGAGAUACAAGUUUAAUUAGAACAGUUUUAACCAGGAAAUCUCCCCACUUUAAGAACUCAGAGCUACUACAUUAAUCCCAGUAAGCAAUGAGGAACUUGACAAUGUGCCUGUUGUUAUCAGGAAGGGUGAGAUGUAUGUAGGAAGGGUGAAACACAGGAAAUGUGCCAUCAAAGACAGAGGUGUGGAGCAGGGCAGGGCAUCGUGCCAGACCCAGCACUGUCAGCUUGCUGCUCUCUGUGCCUGCCAUCACGACACCCACACCACUGCUUGAACACCUUCCUGAGCCUCUCUGGUGACUCUCAGCAAGGACAUCCAGCCAGGUCACUCUGCACUGUCAGCCCAACCAGCUCCCACAAACCAGGCACAGGCCAAGAAUCACAGCUCUAAAGCAAAUAUCGCUCAAUUACAACCUGGUUUUAUUUCCAGCGCCUCAAGUUAUUAAUUAACCUGCUCUGAGCAUCACUGUUCCUCUCAGAGUUUGCUCUGGCUGGGUUAUGGCUGCUCUCAGGUCUGAGAAAAUUUCAGUCUGGGCCUGUGCUUUGCCUGGCCAUGCUCUGACAAGCCACAAGCUCCUCUGGCUCCUGCCAAACCUCCACCUCUAUGAAUGAGCAUCUUGCCAGCCAGACAACGACAGAGCAAGCACUUCCCACUUAGCUCUACCCGUACAUCCAGCACUCCACAAAAAACAGGCAGAAAUUGUGGCGUCCCCCAUAUAAACAGGGCAUUUUAUCAUCUCUUCAGUCUGCCAUUGCUGCCUUCCUGUGGGAAGUUUGCACAGAUACCAGAGGGGAGGAUGCAAACUUCGUGUUAACUGCCCCUUAAUGUCAGUGCUAUGCAUUACUCAGCAAAAACAUGGCACUGUUUCAUCCACAGUCCAUUAUCAUAGCCUACUUCACCAUCUUUUAUUCUCUCCCUAUGAAUAUUCCCAGUUUCCCCACAUCCUUGUCCAUAAGGUUUGAGAGCUUCCUGCCUGGGCCAGAUGCAAGAGUGAAGGAAUGAGGUGUUGAUCAAAGCCUGACUCAUGACUCUGUAAAACACACACUGGUCAGGCUGCACUGUAGCUCACAUAGUGAAAAGCAUAUUUAGGAAGCCGAACCUGGGUUCAAUUAAACUUGAUGUUCUCUACUUCACAAAAUAAGUACAACUCCACAUACUUCAGGUUUAGAGGAAUCUUCCAACAGAAUUUUGGGGAGUGUAACCCAGAUUUGGCAAUCCACAGUUGACUCACCCACUCCAUGUUAAUCCCUCCUGUGUAAACUAAAGCGGCUGAAUGCAACUCCUGCCCUGGUGCUGUGGUCAUCUUUAUUAACACACACUCCUCUUGGGUUCAGUCUUUCCUUGUAUCUGAACUAGCAAGUACCUUAAAAGAAAAUAUCCCUAUCCACAAGGAAUUACAUAAUUUGGGAACGAGAGAAGGGAAGAGUGAUCUGAAGGAAGCAGAUACUGCAGAGCGCGUUCCAAUUUUGAAAAAAAAAAAAUAGUAUCUGUGCUUGCUGGGUUAGGUGGAGUUUUGGGUAAUGAAAACACAGGAAGGCCUAAGUCAGAGGGAUUUUAGAGGUUAUACUAAAGGGAUUGGUUGGAUACUGGCUAAGAAUGGAUCUUGUUGCAAGCAAAGCUAUUUGUAGCCUUUUUCCCUAAAUUUCCCCAAAUUACUUCCUGAUGGGAUGUGUUCU